GAAAGAGUCAGUGGCCGCGCUCAAAAGAACUGGGAACUCUGAAAAAAUGCGAAAUUCAAUCAUGACUCCAGUGAUCUUCAGGUUGGAAGCUAAAGACACAACACCAUCUUCCACAUAUUAUUGCGUGCCCAGCCAGACCCCCCUGCCCCUGUAGAAGACACCUGCUGCUGCCUGAGGAGGAACACACAGGUCAGGAGACGCCCAGCCAGACCACCCUGCCCCUGUAGAAAACACCUGCUGCUGGCUGAGGAGGAGCACACAGGUCAGGAGACGCCCAGCCAGACCACCCUGCCCCUGUAGAAGACACCUGCUGCUGCCUGAGGAGGAACACACAGGUCAGGAGGCUCCCAGCCAGACCCCCCUGCCCCUGUAGAAGACACCUGCUGCUGCCUGAGGAGGAACACACAGGUCAGGAGGCUCCCAGCCAGACCACCCUGCCCCUGUAGAAGACACCUGCUGCUGCCUGAGGAGGAACACACAGGUCAGGAGGCUCCCAGCCAGACCACCCUGCCCCUGUAGAAGACACCUGCUGCUGGCUGAGGAGGAACACACAGGUCAGGAGGCUCCCAGCCAGACCACCCUGCCCCUGUAGAAGACACCUGCUGCUGCCUGAGGAGGAACACACAGGUCAGGAGGCUCCCAGCCAGACCACCCUGCCCCUGUAGAAGACACCUGCUGCUGGCUGAGGAGGAACACACAAGUAGGGAGGCUCCCAGCCAGACCACCCUGCCCCUGUAGAAGACACCUGCUGCUGGCUGAGGAACACACAGGUCAGGAGGCUCCCAGCCAGACCACCCUGCCCCUGUAGAAGACACCUGCUGCUGGCUGAGGAGGAACACACAGGUCAGGAGGCUCCCAGCCAGACCACCCUGCCCCUGUAGAAGACACCUGCUGCUGGCUGAGGAGGAACACACAGGUCAGGAGGCUCCCAGCCAGACCACCCUGCCCCUGUAGAAGACACCUGCUGCUGGCUGAGGAGGAACACACAGGUCAGGAGGCUCCCAGCCAGACCACCCUGCCCCUGUAGAAGACACCUGCUGCUGCCUGAGGAACACACAGGUCAGGAGGCUCCCAGCCAGACCACCCUGCCCCUGUAGAAGACACCUGCUGCUGCCUGAGGAACACACAGGUCAGGAGGCUCCCAGCCAGACCACCCUGCCCCUGUAGAAGACACCUGCUGCUGGCUGAGGAACACACAGGUCAGGAGGCUCCCAGCCAGACCACCCUGCCCCUGUAGAAGACACCUGCUGCUGCCUGAGGAACACACAGAGUCUCUAUUUGAGGGGGGCUGCCAACUGUACCCACCGCUGCCAUCCAACCAGCUGCAUUUGAUCCCCCCGGCCACCUGGAGUGUGGCCAACCAAUGACUUUCCCACAAUUUACCUGUGGAUUCAAGAGAAACUCCCCAGUCUGGCCCAGGAAAAAAGAGUUGUUGUUCCAGCACUCCGCCACCAGAUGGGGCAGUCAUAUUAAGAACCUAUGUUUGGAGAAGGGAAGAAGGACUUGAUGAUGCCAUUGCCAAUGGUUGAAGUUAACUUGACCUAGAUUGGGGUGAGAGUGGAGGAUGAGCUGGAAAGAAGGAGAGGAGAGCGGAAUGAGCGGUGUUGUACUUACCCAGUGUAUUCUGGGCGAUAUUAUUUUGAGAGUGGGACAGAGCUUGGUCAGUGUUUUUCACUCGUGCUUUUUAAAAAUGUACUUUUUAAAAAUCUCAGUAUUUCUGUACAUGUUGUUUUUUGAUCGUCAGUAUCCUUCCCCCUUGACAACAUAUAGAGAAUUGAUCCACUGAUGAUCCAUUGAUCCACUACCUGCAUGAUCAGAGGGCUCCCAUUAGACCGGUCUUUAUAUACGUUGACUGGCAACAGGUGUUUUUAGUCCCCCCCCCCCAUUGUGGAACAGUCUCUGUACAGCAGAUAUUGUAGCUAAUAACUCACGAGAGAUGGACUUACAUGCAGAACCGUUCCUCCAAAAACCAAAGAGUAGGUUAACCCAUAGAGGUCUCAGUUAACCCACAGUUUUACUCCUUGAUGUUUAAGAAACCACAUUCUACCCUCAAAGGGCAAUAUGACCCUGUUGAUAAAGACUAUUUUGGGGGAGAGUUUCAGCCUGGCUUUGAACGGGUCAAAGCUGAAUUCAUUUGAGUUAUUAUGACCAUGUGGGAUGUAAUGAGCUCAGUCCUCUUGCUUAAGAGCAGGGAAUACAUGUGUGUGAAUACAAA